rnacentral:rRNA from 1 species
AUUGAACGCUGGCGGCAGGCCUAACACAUGCAAGUCGAACGAGUGGCGGACGGGUGAGUAAUGUCUGGGAAACUGCCCGAUGGAGGGGGAUAACUACUGGAAACGGUAGCUACUACCGCAUACCAUCGGAUGUGCCCCGGUGGGAUUAGUUAGUAGGUGGGGUAAAGGCUCACCUAGGCGACGAUCCCUAGCUGGUCCGAGAGGAUGACCAGCCACACUGGAACUGAGACACGGUCCAGACUCCUACGGGAGGCAGCAGUGGGGAAUAUUGCACAAUGGGCGCAAGCCUGAUGCAGCCAUGCCGCGUGUAUGAAGAAGGCCUUCGGGUUGUAAAGUACUUUCAGCGAGGAGGCGUUACUAGCAGAAGAAGCACCGGCUAACUCCGUGCCAGCCGCCGCGGUAAUAC